GAUCAGAGAUGAACUGCGAGGCUAGGUUUGGGAGCAACGCAUCUGGUGUAGGGUAGUAAUCUGAAUUUUUCGAAAGGGAUUUUGGUGAAUCGAGUAGAGAGAGAACAAGAAUUAGAAAGAGGGAUAAAUAAGGAGGUGGGGGCUGGACGGCUUUGCUGUUCGGCCGAGAAAUGGAAGCACGGCGAAGGCGGCGAUCCAAUUGGCUGUCAUUGGCGG
rnacentral:lncRNA from 1 species